ensembl:lncRNA
UGAGGUCAGGUGCACGUAGCUAGCUUUAGCACAUAGGUGGCUGGCUGAAUCGCUGGCUUUCUUUGCGGCAGACUCCAGAACUGAAGCAGAAGCCGUUCAUGCUGCACGACCGAGAGUCGUUAGUUUUAACAACGCCACGAUGGAAGAGAUGCCAUACAUCCGGGCAUGGAUCAUAUAACAACCGCAGUAUUGAAAGUUCCAGCUGCUCUGAGUGUAGUCUCCACGAAAAGAUCUUGCAUUUCAAAUACAAAUGUAUAUAUACCUAAUUAGACCUCUGCGCGCGAUCUGCCACGUUGCCCGGGUCGCGGUAGUCCCUCAAGUGGUGACCAUGUUAACUGGUGACCCUCAGCCGAAUGCUUCGCUUGUUGUCGUGGCUACGCCAGAUGUUGGAAAUCGGGACCAGAAACGUAGCUGUCCUUGCGAUCACCUCUUUGAUUUGUUAUUCAAUAAAAUGUCAAAAACAUUACAAUCUCAUUCGUUUUUGGAGUGUAAUUGGAAGAAACGUGUCAAGUAGAACCGUUUUAAGCCGAAAAAAAUGGAAAAUGAAUGUUUAAAAUAUGAUACAGUACGGGAUUCGAACUCACACCAUUGUGGGGGAAAAAAAAUAACAAUCCGCAAUUCCAUUCCAUUGUGCCGUUGACCCACCAGGGAAUUCGCCGCCGUAGUAUAAUAGAAUUCGCAAAUACUUCUUGAAAACACGAAAGGCAGCCAGAUCAACUUGUGACCCUACUUUCCAUGCAGUGGUGUAGUCUAUUUUAUUGUAAUGGGUAUACUGUGAUGAUUCCCUCCCAGCCUCGUACAAACCCGUCCGACCGGUACGUGUACGUGUGUGGCACUUAUGGGGUGUCGCACCACACUCACCAACGCAGGGGUCUACAACCCGCUGAUUUAAGAGUAUAAUGAUGAUCAACAAUCAUGGAAAGCUGAGUAGGUUUAUCAGUUUUAAUAACAGUAUGAACAAAUAGAACACAAAAAUGACAAGUUGUCCUUUGUAUAUCUAUAGUAGCAAUAGCACAUGCUAAACAAGGAC